UACGUAGGGUGCGAGCGUUAAUCGGAAUUACUGGGCGUAAAGCGUGCGCAGGCGGUUAUUUAAGACAGGCGUGAAAGCCCCGGGCUUAACCUGGGAGGUGCGCUUGUGACUGGAUAGCUAGAGUACGGCAGAGGGGGGUGGAAUUCCACGUGUAGCAGUGAAAUGCGUAGAGAUGUGGAGGAACACCGAUGGCGAAGGCAGCCCCCUGGGCUAGUACUGACGCUCAGGCACGAAAGCGUGGGGAGCAAACAGGAUUAGAUACCCUGGUAGUCCACGCCCUAAACGAUGUCAACUGGUUGUCGGGGGGGUUACUCCUUGGUAACGAAGCUAACGCGUGAAGUUGACCGCCUGGGGAGUACGGCCGCAAGGUUG
rnacentral:rRNA from 1 species